rnacentral:rRNA from 1 species
CGAAGGGUGCUAGCGUUGUUCGGAAUUACUGGGCGUAAAGCGCGCGUAGGCGGCUAUACAAGUCAGAGGUGAAAGCCCUGGGCUCAACCCAGGAAUUGCCUUUGAAACUGUAUAGCUUGAGUGUCGGAGGGGAUAGCGGAAUUGCUAAUGUAGAGGUGAAAUUCGUAGAUAUUAGCAGGAACACCGGUGGCGAAGGCGGCUAUCUGGACGACAACUGACGCUGAGGCGCGAAAGCGUGGGGAUCAAACAGGAUUAGAUACCCUGGUAGUCCACGCUGUAAACGAUGGGUGCUAGCCGUUGGGGGGUUACCUCUCAGUGGCGUAGCUAACGCGUUAAGCACCCCGCCUGGGGAGUACGGUCGCAAGAUUA